rnacentral:misc_RNA from 1 species
CAUUCCGCAGACUUGGUUUCGCGUUUCUACGAAGGUGCAAUGUUGUAAAAAACACAUUUUCCGACAACCUAAUAUAUAACACUGCAGAGUUAAGAGUAAAAUACAUCACAUUUCUAGACCUCAAUUCUGAAAUUCCAUGAUCUCAAUCGUAGACCUUGCAAGAGAUAAAGAAUCUUUAUUGAAAUUCUACAGCUAGCUCGUAAAGCUCGCGUUUAACGAAUACAUUCAUUUUUACAUAUCUGGCUAUUCUGGAUCUCGCUAUACGGCACCCUAUUAGAAUGAUUUAUCACGAUCUUCGCGCGGCGACGCUCUUCUCAGCGGAAACGCCAUCGAGUUCGACGCGCGCCCUGGCCGCCGUCGCGGCGCUUUGCUCCUUGUACGAGACGUCGCCAGCUUGUAAAGCUCUCAUCUCGGCGCUAUUCGCCGUCGCUUUUUCAGCGCUAAAGCCGUCCGUAACAACCUGCAAUUCAAACGAAUCGAAGAUUAAUAAAUGUCCAUGUUACAGAUCCAGCAAGAGAAACUAUCAAAAACGAGAAAACGAUUCGAACAACCCUAUGGUAGGGUGAUUUGACUCAGCGAGGAGGUAUCACACGGUUGCUAAGAGAAACGCAGAAUUUGUAGAAUAAAGCGAAACAUUGUCUUCAGAUGGAAACUCUGCCCAAAAUCGCGCCAAAUGGCAUUGGCGCAAGUUGUCUGAUUCUACGGAGAUUUACGCUUAAUGGACAGACACAAGUCUAAUUUCGUUAAAUGGCAUUGGUAUGCGUCUGGUUCUAAGGAGAUUUAGAUCCAA